UAAAUUCUCUCAACUAUUCAUUACUUUUACCCACUUUUUCUCAUAAUUCAACAACACAAUCAUUACGAUUCCAAAUAAAUAUAAUUAUUUAUAGUUGGAGUGGAGCGGAGUUAAAAUUUUCAUUUGCCAGACAAGACCGUCUUCCAAUGUGAAUUUUCUUUAUUCACAAUAUUCGAAACUGAGACUUUACUGAAGGAGAAAAGGUGCCAAACUACCUCAACCCACCUACAUUGUUUCAAAAUUUGAACUUUUAGAUUUAGAGAAAAUCCACUUUUUUUUUAACCUAGUCUAUGAUGACUAUGGCUAUGAUGAUGAUGACAAUGAGGAUGAUGCAGAUGAGGAUGGUGAUGGUGAAGAUGAUUAUGAUGAUAGCUGUCCAUGAUAUUUUGUGAUGCAUAUUUCAAUGUUGCUUUAUUGUCACCUGAACAUGCUUGAAUUUGAUCCAUGGUUGGAUUGAGUUCUACCUUGUGUAUGUAAUUGUGACAUUACUGAGGCUUAGAGCGCAUUUUCUGAAGAUGUAUAUAUAGAGGGUUACUGGUGGCAGCUCAACCAGCAGCCGUCUCCCUCCCCAUCGAUCUACAGCAAUUGAUGAUUUGUCUGUCCUCUGUUUUAGUCCGUUUCUGUUCAUGGAAAGUUCUGGAUGAUCCUUUUUGAUAUUCAUAUCAAUAAUUUGUCUUGUCUUCUUCUUCUGCUGCUGCUCCACCUCCCAGAGAACUGGCUCUGCUCCCAGAGAAGCUGGCAGCUGUCUGUUCCAUUUACUCGCCCUUCUCUGCUCUCGGCUAAGUUUCCAACGGUGGCCUCUUGCACCCAACAGGUGGCUGCCCUUCUCUGGUCAGAGGCAGAGCUACAUGUAGAUUUCUUAAAAAAAUUUAUUCUUACUAAAUAUCCAAUUUUCGAAAGUCUUAUCAGAUUUUUCUGGGGUUAAGUGUGAAGCAAAUGAGUGUGCAACAGGCUGGCCACUUUCGAUGGGGACUUUUCAGCAGGGGAAAGUAUUGAACGUGUUGAAGCUUAAAUUGCAUUCUCUGGACACAUUUGAGAGGGUUACUGGUGGCAGCUCAAGCAGCAGCCGCCUCCCUCCCGUUGAACUGUUGGCACUGGUGGCUGCCUUUUUUGAUUGGAGGUGGAGCUGAUGAUUUCUGAAUAGCAUUGUUUUCUUUUUUGACAAGUGCCCUCUCUAAGAGCGAAGCAUGCAAUGGAUGAUGAACCCGCGACCUAUAUAUGGUAGUAGAGAACAGACAACAAGAGAUGAGAUCAUCCAUUCUGAAUCUACAUAUAUAAAAUAUAUAUGUAUAUUCUUUAAGGGUUGGAGCUCAAUGUUAUAAAUGAAGGGGUGAUGAGAAAUGGACCUGCCUGUUGUAUGGCGUGGUGGCUCUGAAAAGCUAAAGCCACGUCAGAAAUCAAAUCCGAGCCUCAGCAACUGAAGAUGGCUCUUUCUUGACCCGGAGCCAGAGGGCAGUAAUAUCUUUAGUGGGUUGUUUGGUUGUUUGGUUUCAAAGUAGGAUUUUAAAAUCCUACUUUAACUUAAUUCUACCCACAACAAAACAAAAUAACUUAUACAAAGUCAAAGGUUGGGCCCCAUUUAUACCACUCUUUUUCCACAACAAAACAAAAUAACUCAUACAAAAUCAAAGGGUGGAUCCCAUUUAUAUCACUCUUUUUCAAAAUCAAAAUCUGAUUUUAAAAUCCUACUUUGAAAUCAAACAUAACAUAUAUUUCUUAUUUCAGCAGAGAUGGCUCUGCUCUAGAGAAGCGGGUGGCUUUGUGUUCCUAGUAGCUGCUUAGUUGCCCUUCUCUGGUUUGCUCAUUAGUUUAAAAUUGACUAUUUGUUCUUAUAAAAGGCAUUAAAACAGCAACCUAUAGUCAAUGGUGGGGAGCCGUUGAUUUCUGAGAAAUCUUUAACAUUUAGGCUUGCUUUAUAGUGUUGUUGCUGAUGGGAAAGUACGGACAUAAAAUUUCUGAAAAGUAGUGGUUGAUUUUACAAGAAUCUAAAGUGUUUCUGACAGAGAAAUUAGAAUGCCAGAAGAUAUUCAUGCUUGUGUCAGUACUACGGCAUGGUGGCUUGAGGGCGGUAGCCAGCCAUGGCAGGGUUUCUCCUGUCCUUUCUUUCUUUGCCUGAGAAAGUCUUAAUGUGAGCCCUUGGCCAUUCAUGUCAUGCUUUCUUUCCUAUUUAUCUAGUUUCAUCACAGGAUAAAUAUCUCUUCUACUCCACUAACUUUAUUGGGGUAUAUUACUUAAUUGGUACAAAUCCUUUUAUGAGUUGCACAGUUGGUACAAAAACUUAUUUUUGUAACAAUUUGAUACAAAAGUGUUGCAAUCAACUACAUUCUGUCAAUUUCGUAUUAACAGCGUCGGCAUAUUCUGACGUGGCAUCUGACCCGUCAAAUGGUAUCCGACGUGGCUCAAACUUUAAAACCAAAAUUCAAUUUUCAAUAUUUAAAUUAAAUUAAAUUAAAUUAAAAAAUCAAUAAUAUAUAUAUAUAUAUAUUUUAAAAAAGGCCAGCUGAGGCGUCCCCAACCCUGUCUGUGCUUGUUUGCAUCGAAGCAAGGAACGGUUUGAGCUUUUGUUUGGUUCACUUUCGAUUCUUCUGAUGGAGCUUCCCCUGGCUCUGGCAUCACCAAGGUCAGCUGUGUACGAGGCUGUGAUGAUAAAUGGCGGAAGAGAAAUUGAGAGUAAUUCAGGCCAAAAAUCAGAGAACUGUCCCUAUCUUGGCGUGGCGGCUCUAGAGAGAGCUGCAGCCAUGGCGGGGUUCCUUCCCAUUGAUCUGCCUGAGGAAAUAUGAAUCUGAGCCUCUCAUUGAUCGUUCAACUGUUUCUGUUUCUUGCAGAAAAUCAGCUGAUAUUAACUGCCCGUUUGGUUUUACAAUUCAUUUUAAACUCUACUCCACUUAUCUUCAAUUUAACAAUACAAUUAUUACUUUUCCUUUUUUUAACUAUUCAAUUCAAUUUUUAAUACUAAAUUCUCUCAACUAUUCAUUACUUUUUUCACAAUUCAACAACACAAACAUUUUACCUCCUUCCUAUGUAGGAAUCUUGGAUCCUUUGAUCAAUCAUGUUAACAUGAAAACUGAAGCAUAAUCUGGAAAUGAUGGUGGUGCGUUUGGUUUUAGAGUUAAAUAAUUUUGAUUUUGAUUUUGAUUUUGAUUGUGGAAAAGGACAAAUGAGAUGAUAUUAUAAAUUUGACUUGGGAAACGUGUAUUUUUUUUUGUGUAGUGGGUAAAGUUAAAAUCAAAAUCAUAAUUUUAAAAUCAAACUCUCAAUACAAACACAACCUUAAUUAUUGUGAUCAUGGUAAAUUGCACCAAUGCCCCCCUUCGUUCUGAUCAAUUGGAACUAUUAUCAUUAUUAUAAUUUGUGCAGAAAGAACAGGUAGAAAUUGUUGAGGCAAUGAUCAUUUUUAUAGGAGAAAAAAUGGAAGAAAUUUUGCCGGCAGAGAGUUGUCCAUUGCUUGGCAUGACAGUCCAGGGAGCUGCAACCAUGGCGGGGCUCCUCCCCGUUGUCUGAUCAAAGGUGAGCCUGCCUUAGAUACUGAAUACAACACUAAAUUGUCCCAUGGAAACUAAGGCAGUUUGAGUUGCUCAGAGGCUUCUUAAGGUUUCCAGUUUUCUUUUCAACCCAUUAGCUUGAGAAUGAUUCUCAGGCGUCAGAGAAACUGAAAUUGGCGUAUCUACUCGUCCUUUCAGGUUUCUAAUAGACAGUGGAGCUGAUUUAGAAAGCUUCUGCUUUUCAAAAUUCACUAGCUUUUCUGUCCGCCCGAAAAAGGGGAACAACGUGAGGCAAAGAGACGAAAUAGCAUGUCUGGGGUGGCUUAUAAAUCCCAGCUUCGUUAUUCAGAAACUACUUUUGAAAGCCACUAGAUCUUGGUGAUGGAAGUUGCUGACAGCUUUCUGAAACUACUUUUUUUUUAAGCAAAGCCAUCUUCUUUGUCUUGUUAGAUACCAGAAAGACACAGAUAGAAGCUCCAGCCAUCCCAGACAUGCUCUAAGUCUGUAUAUGCAAGUACAAAUUUUAUUUUCUCAUACCAAAAGAUUUGUUUCCAAAGGGAGAAGCCUCUAGUUUUGCCCUGAUACGGGAGCUGAUGACUUAAGGAAAAAGUUUUUGGUUUCAGGAAUUUCAUGGUCAUUUUAAGUUUUGAAACUUACCAGUCUAUCAGGUCACCAGAGAGCAGUAGCAAAUAUAGAUAUGCUUGCUGAUAUAUGUAUAUAUGUAUAGUUUCCUUUAAGAACCAAAAAUGUUCCUCGCUGACAAGACCCCAGCAUUAUCAGUGGUCUCCACUACCAAACCAGGCCUUAAAAUCUUCUGCUGCUUUCUGUGAAGGAGGUAGAAAAAGGUAAAAGAGGCGGUCACGAUUUGAGGGGAAGAAAACUUGGUAUUAUUGUAGUCAAAGAGCAGACCAUACCUUGGUGUGGCAGCUUCUUAAAGCUGCAGCCAUGGUUUUGUAUCUUCAUUUGUCUGAUUAAUGCCAGAAUCUGAGCCUCUGUAACAGGAGCCUAAAUAAUUACUAGGGCCCACCACACAGGCUUGACCCUUUUUCCUGUUCUUCUACUUUCUCUGGCAAUCAUAUAGUGAGAGUGUCCGAUGGGUUAAAUGUGCCGCAAAUUGAUUUCUUUGUUCCUUGAGCAAUCAGUUCAAUUGGUCGAGUCUUUAGAAAUACUAUGAAAACAUUUAAUGUGCCGCAAAUUGAUUUCUUUGUUCCUUGAGCAAUCGGUUCAAUUGGUCAAGUCUUUAGAAAUACUAUGAAAACAUUUUAAAAAAAGUUCACUACGUGCACCACCUCGUAUUUGGAAGUCCAAUGGGAGGUGGAAGUCCAAUGGGUCCCGGCUAAUGCAAGCUCGGGCCAGGUUAGCCUACUAAGGGGAAAAGCGCUCCCAAUUGUGGAUUUUCUCCAUUUACAAAACUUGAACUCGAGAUUUUGCUUCCUUUACCUUGCUUUAGAGGAAGAUGUGUUGAAUUACAUGAACCAAUCCACGUUGGUCACUGAGGCUUCGUUUGGAAGUGACUGCAGCUGGUCACGAAGGCAUUGUUUGCAAACGGAAAAAAUAAAUAUAUAAAAUUGUUGAUUUUCACAAGUUGUUAGACUUUUAUGGGGACACUAAUAUAAAUUGCGGAAAGUUAGCAUGUCUGAUUGAUUGUUGAUGGGUUUAUAGUAUAAGAAGAAGCAAUCUCAUAAAUUGCCAGUAUCUGAAGCAAUUUAGCGAAUUGUUUGUAUCUUGGCUUCACUACUCUAGGCCGGAGGUGCAGCCAUGGCAGGUUUCCUCUCUCUCUCUCUUCUCUUUGAAUGUGAGGAAAGAACAGAGAAGAAAAUGGUGAACAAAGACAAUUUUUCUGAAUAUGAAUGCAGAUGUUUGUGUUUAAUUUGUUUUGCUGCCAAAACCCAAAUGCAUGUAAAGCAAAAUCACCACCGUCUUUUUCCUCUUCAUCUUCAUGUGUAAACUUCAGCUUCUCUGCCUAUUCAUGAAAAUAGAGGAAAAGAGUAAAGAGGCGAUGAUGAUCUGUGUAGAAGAAAAAAUUGUAAUCAGAACUUAGCAGGCACAAGGAGCUGUCUAUAACUUGGCAUGGUGGCUCCAAGAAGCUGCAGCCUUAGCUCGGCUCCUUUGUCUGAUCAGAAGUCAGAGUCUGAGCCUCGUUAACUGAAGAUUACUCUUUGUGGGCAUUGGGAAUCAAGGAAUAUCCACUGGAGCCUUUCUGAGGGUUUUUUUGGUUCUCCAACUUAUUAGUUUGAGAAUUGAGGUUUUGCUCUUGAGAAGCCAUUGAUGGUGGCCUUCUCCAAAAAAACAGCAGAGCCAGUGAUUUCUCAAAUUAUUUGAUUUUGAAAGUUUCACCAGUUUAUCUCAAUGGAAUAACAGCAACAAGCAAGUACUAAUUUCUACAUGCACUUUGCUUGUAUGUGUGCCUUCCAAACCCAAAAACAAAAGCAAAGAUGCUUCUGUGAGACAUAUCAACAUCACCAUCAACUUCAGCAUCAUCAUCAUCUUCACUACCAAAGAGAAACAACAGAUACUUCUUCCUGCAGAGAUAGAAACUGUGGUUGUGGAGACUGAAAAUCGGAAAAUUUAAUCACAGGGAGGUAUUCGUAGUUUGGCAUGGUGGCUUUGAAAAGCUGCAGCCACUGCAGAGUACCGCUCAUGUACUGAGCCACCUAACUGGUUUUGUCAUCAAUGUUAUUGUUGUUGUUAUUAUUAUUGAAUGCAAAGUGAAAAAUCUGUCUCUCUGAUCCUGUUUACUUGUGAUGAUGGGAAAUGGAAAACUAUUAAAGCAUUAUUUGCUUAUGGAAGUUGUUGAUUCACCUGAUUCUGAUAUUGGAAAAGUGAGCUAUACUAUGAGGCAGUGAUGAUUAUGCGAACGAAAAUUUAUAAUAGACUCUGGACAGUGGCAGUCCAGGUGAGGUUCUUCUGGUGCUAUUCCUUUACUUGCCUAGAAAUAAAUCCCUAAAAUCUGAGCCUCCAACACCUGUUCUCUUCUGGUCUGAAUGAUCAUCCAAGUUCUCUUCUUCUCCCUUUCACUUAGUAUAUGAUUAUCUUGGAAUUUGGUUGUUCAUUGACUGCCUGCAUGGUAUCACAGACAUGCUACAAUUUAAUUCAUUUCAGUUAAAUUCUGUCUUGACGGUUGCUAAUGGCAUUAGUGUAUAUAUCAGAGAGGCAAUGGCAUCGUCUAUCAGGAAAAAUUAUUGGGUGAUUUUGUGAUUGAGACAAUUCUAUUAAUCUCGAUCUCCAUCUACCAGGUUGCCUCUAAUUUUAGUCUUUUGAAAGAUUAUUGACUUUGCAGAAAUGUGAAUCAGUGAAGCUGCUUCCAUCCAGAAAACUGAGGGCCCGUUUGGUUUCAUGAUCAGAUUUUAGAAUCAUGAUUUUGAUUUUAACUCUACCCACUGCACAACAAAAAUACACGUUUCUCUAGUCAAAUUUAUAAUACCAUCUCAUUUGUCUUUUUUCACAAUCAAAAUCAAAAUCAAAGUUACUUUAAUUCUGAAACCAAAUGCCCCCUGAGGCUCUUUGCUUGAAGCUAUUGAUGGUUUGUCUGUGCCCCCUCUGAUUCCUAUUUUCACUAGGGCCUGGGCUCUUCCUUUGACCAGUGAAGGAAUUAUAUAUUAAUCUUUCAAUGGGGAGUGAUGUAUUGCCCACUCUUUCCUUGUGCUGAAAGAGAACAAGAAGCUAAGAUAGAUAGAUAGAUAGAUAGAUAGAUACAUGCACAUACAUAUGGCUCCCCCAUACUUUCAAAUCGGCAAGGUAAGGGAUGGGGCUGUGAUGAUUAUGUUAUGUCUGGCAAAACUCAAAGAAUUGCCCGUAUCUUGGCGUGGCGAUUCGUAGGGUCGUGUCGCAGCCAUGGCAGGUUCCUCUCAUUGACUUCUUUGCCUGAAAAAAAUUGAAUCUGAGCCCUAAGCACUGAUCUCUUGCCUCUUCUUUUCCUCUCUGAAGUCUAUUAUCUGCUGCCAAGAGCCUUGAAAGCCAGCCUCUUCUCUCUACUACUGAAAAACCUUAAUUAACAGAAUUUUCUGGUUCUACCUGGCUUGUCACCCUUCGCUGAUGAUAGUGGAGAAUGGAGGUAGAUAAAAGGAGAUGAGGCUUUGCAAUGUGAUCAUCAGGCUUUUUGUUUUAGAAUGAGGCUCUGCUCUCAGAGAAGCCAUCACUCCAGCCAGUGAGCUGCUCUUCUCCGAUUGAUAGCGGAACUGAUGAUUUCUCAAAAACUUUGGCGCCCCUUAGUCAUGCCAAAAGAAAAUAAUAAUAAUAAUAAUAAUAAAGCACUUGUGUAUGUGCUUCCCCCACAACAAUGAUGUCCACCAUCAAUGUUGUCGUCUUGUCAUUGCCACUGCUAUGAAGCUUUUUUUUUGGAGAAGUAUGAAGUCGGAAUGUUUUCGGUGCAAAAGUAUAAAAUGUGAAGGGGCAAUAAGGAUUUAUGGAGGAGAAACAGAAAUUUUUACAGGCGCACAGAGCUGAGCAUAGCUUGGUGUGGCAGCUGCAAGAAGCUGCAGCCAUGGCGGGUUUGAUGAAUUUGCCUUUUAGAAGGGUAUCAUUUAUUGAAAGAUAGUCUGAGGUGUGGGGGAUGGACUGCAUUUUUGCUGUUGCUCUUAAUUAAUGCUGUGCUAAAACCUCAGGGUCCAUUCUUUAGCAUGUUCGGAAAAGCUUACAAAUCCCAGCUCUUCAUGUAGGGAUGCAAUUUUAGAGGUUCAGCUCUUCCUUCUUUGUCGGCAGUCCCUUGGUAUAUAAUAUUGAACAUCUGUGAUCGGAGGAUGAGCUGAUGAUUUCUCAAAAAUCUGUUUCCUGAAAGUCAUUGAUUUCUGAAAGUUCACCAGAUUCGUCUGGUAGUGAAAACCAUACGCUAUGAGAAGCUUAUGAGCUUCAUCUAUUCGUUCAUUCUUUCAUUCAAUUAUUCAUUUAUUUAUUUAUUUAUCUAUUAAAGAAUCCGUCCAGGAACAGGAUCUAUGCACCUGUGCUAUUUAAUUCUCCUGGCGAAAUGCCUGCUAUGUGGCAUGAAUCCGUAGGCAAGGAGGCGAUGAGGAUUCGUGGAGAAGAAUUGGAAGGAAUUUAUGCAGGCAUGAGAGUGCGUCCUGUAGCUUGGCAUGGCGGCUUCGAAAUGCUGCAGCCAUGGCAGGGCUCCUUUCGCAUUGUCUGAUCAAAGUUGGAAUCUGAGCCUUGGAGAUUCGCUUUGCAUGGCUGCCUUUUCCACGACAGGGAUCUUUCAAUUGCCUAAUCAAUGUCAAAACCCCAAGCUUUGCUCGUUCUCGGUUCACUGACUCAAGUCCUUGGUUUAACACUGGGGUCGCUAAACCACGGGGCGCAGUGGUUGCACUGAGUUGGGCUAGACCGAGGGGUCUGGAGGCCUGACCUUUCUUACUGUUGUAGAAAUUCCCUUUUUUUUCUGGAUACGAAAAUCAAAAUAAAUUAUUUUGGUUUAUUUUAUUUUAUUUAUUUUCCCGUACCAUCCGAAUUUUGGAAGCCCAAUGGGGUAUCAAUAUAUCCAGAUCUCAAUGAAGUCAGGUCGGCUCACUUAAAAAAAAAAAGAAAAAAAGCUCUUUCUAAUAGUGAAUUUUCUUAUUUACAAAAAAAAUCGUAUUUAAAUAUAUUUUUUUGGGUAGAUAAAACCAAAAAUUGUUCAGGGGGCAAAGAAAGGUAUAUAUAGUGGUUUUGAUUUCAGAGUUAAAAUUUUGAAUUUGUAACUUUGAUUUUGAUUUUGAAAAAAAAAAGGGGCUUGUGGACCCCAUCAAUUUUAUUGUGUAGUGUAUGAGAUUGUAUAUUGAAUAAUAUAUGAGGCUCAUCAGCUUGACUUUGAAAAUGUAUGUUUUGAAAAUGUAUGUUUUGUUGUGUAGUGUAUUGACUUAAAGUUAAAGUUUAAAAUUUAAAGUUUAAAAUAACGACUCCAAAAUAAAACGGAGCGAUAGAAUCUUUGAGCUAAUUCGCAUUGGCUUUUAAAUUUAUUUCUAUAAGUGGUAAAGAAAUGGCCAUACUCAUAUUUACCAUCAAUUCUGCGCGCCGAAAGAUGUGGAAAUCCCUCCCUGUGGAAGGGUAAAAUGGUCAGGUAACUUGAGGGUAAGAUGGUAACUGGACAGGCUACUGAAAGCAGGGCGCUAUAAAUGCGGUCGGAGCUUCCGCUAGGGUUCCUAAAGUUUUCCUCCACAAGCUCAUUAGUUUAAGUAUGAGGCUCUGCUCUCAGAGAAGACCUCUCAGGCGACGGCCACUGCCGUCUCCGGCGGCCCUUCUCUGAUCGGUAGCGGCGCCGAUGAUUAUGCACGAAAUGUUUUUUUUUUUUUUCUAAUUUCGUAACUUUUGCUGGUUCUCGUACCGGUGAAAGGGAAAGCGAAAGAGAAGGGAAAAAUAUCAAUGUCUGUCUCUGUGUGGGUAUGAUUUACGCCAUGCAGCUGCUUCAGCGAUAUGUAUAUAUGUAUAUAUAUAAUAUGAUAUAAUAAUUCUUCAUCAUCAUCGUCUGAUCUAUCAUCAUUGACAUUACCACCACUUAUCACUGCCUUCAGGAAACAAGCUCUCGCUACGAUGACCUUCUUCCUCUUCUUCUUCUUCCUCUUCUUCAUGUUCCUGUUCGUGUUAUUGAGAGGCGAUGACGAUGUAAUUUACACGGUGGUGAUGUUUAAGAAAUUGCAGGCGCAGAGAGCCGUCCGUAGCUUGGCGUGGCGGCGCUGAAAGCCGCAGCCAUGGCGGGACUCCUUCGACAUGUCUGAUCAAAGGCGAAUCCGAGCCUCCAGCACCUUCCGGUUCCAUCAUUUUCGUUUUUCUCGACUUUUUUUUUUCAUUAGUUAUUGUUUGCCCCAACUAAAAGCUUAAUUUUCAUCCGAAAUAAUAUAUUAAAUGAUUAAUUCGCACAUUAAUUAUCUUUUUCCCCAAAUUCCAACAUCUCUACUCAAUUUCAAAAAAUGAUGUUUCAGGAUUAUCCUUUCGGUUCCCAGCUGGAAUCUACUUUCUAUAGUUAUUAUAAGAGUUGCGAAACCAUUCUAUAGUUAUCGUAAGUGUUAUUUGGUUCGCGGUAUUGUAAGAGUUGACUGUCAAUUUGGUCCCUGAAAGAAAGCUAUUUGGUUCGCGGGAAGAUCUAUCCCUGAAUGGAAGCUAUUUGGUUUGUGGGAAGUUCUGAAGUGCAAUACAAUCACUUCUUUAAACCUUGAUAAAUGAAUAUAUGGUUUGCUGCUACGGAUUGAAUUGAAUGGAGUUGAGAGUAGCUGAAAUAUGAUCAAGGAAUGAGGCUCUGCUCUCAGAGGGGUGACCAUGGUGGCUUCCAUCUGGUUCCCCUGGCCUUCUCGGAUUGUUAGCGGAGCCGAUGAUUUCUCCAAGCCUGGCCUUCACAUAUUGUUAGUUAGCGAUGCUGAUGAUUUCCCAUGCUUGAUGCCGACUCUCGUUUUCGAAAGCCAGGCUUUGUUUUUUGGAUAAAAUAUUUUACUCUAUCCAUCUCAACUCAAUUCUUUCUCAAAUUCAACACCACAAUCAUUGCUAUUUUUUUCGUUUUUUCUAUUUGAUAAUAAUUUCCUACUCAUACGUUUUCCUAACUAUUUUUUAUAAUCAAUUUUUUAAUAAUAAAUUCUUCAUGUACUUAUAUAUAUAUAUAUAUCUUUUCACCAAUCUAUAUAUUUUUCAACACUUACAAUCAUUAAAAAAAAUUAAAUUCAGUUGGAUCAUGAUCCAACUUGAAAACCAAACGCAAGCGAUCAAUUUCUCUAACCAGGAGAAAGAAGAACCGGAAAGAGGAAAAAAGGAAAAUGAUGAUUUCACUUUGAAGUGGAAAGGGCCUUGGAAGGAUAUAUGUAUUUAUGUGUGUGUGUGAAUAUAUACGUAUAUGCAUGUGUACUUCAUCAUCGAUCCAAAUGCAAAUCUUCACUGCUCUGCUUCUCAGCUGCUUUGUAUGAUUGUCUUCUCAAUCAACAAGGACUGAACAGAUGCCCCGUUUGAAAUCAAUUCUUGCAAGAAAUUGAUUCCAGCUGAAUACAGCUCUACCUCCUCCUCCUCGACAACAUCGUGUAAAGAGGUGAUGAUGAUUAGAAAAUUGGGAAGAGUUGUGCAGGCAGGGAGAGCCGUCCGUAGCUUGGCAUGGCGGCUCUGGAAAGCCUGCAGCCAUGGCGGGGCUCUUUCAGCUGUCUGAUCAAAAGCGAAUCUGAGCCUCAAUCGAACACAACAUUGGUGAUCCCAUUCCCUUGUUCCCAUUAAGUUAUGUUCUUUUGCUAUUGAUGAACUGAUUUUUUGGGGAGGUCUUCUUUUGUCCUUUGCUUGAUUGAUUCUUGUUAUUAAGAAGAAACUCUCUUAUUAUUAUUAUUAUAUUUUUACUUACCCAACAAAUUUUCUUAUUAUUUCUAGCUGCUCCUUGGACUUCGCUUGUGAAAACUCCUUUCUUUUUUUGUAACCAGUAUUCUGAAUUAUAUUUAUAGUGGAUGAUUUCUGUAUGUUGAAUUAUUGAAAUGAGAUAUUCCAGUUCCGCCAAAGAAAUUAUUAGAAUCAGAUUGUUAUUCCAAGAAACAUGAUGAGGGUAUGGCAUUUCCUACGCGCGGUGACUGAUUCUUUAAGUAAUUGCAGGCACAGAGAGCUGUCCGUAUCUUGGCAUGGCGGCAUCAAGAAGCUGCAGCCAUGGCGGGGCUCCAUCAAAAGGUCUGAUCAAAGGCAAAUCUGAGCACCCCGCAUCUUUCGAUUCAUUAACUUCAUUUUCUUGUUUGGGUAAACUUCAUUACUUCAUCUUUUUUACUCCUCUUCAUUACUUCAUCUUCUUCUUAUACAUUUUCCCUCGUUUUUGAAACCUUAUAUCCGAAUUAAUGAAUUCUUCUGACUAUUGAGAAAGAGGAUGUAGCGCAACGGUGCAUCUUCUUGCCUGUCAACCAAGAUGUUUUAUGUUCAGUUUGCAUUGUUGGAAUACUCGUGUACCUUAAUUAGCGUAUUAGGUUAUCUACUUCAUUGUAUUGCAAGUAUGAUUAGUUUGAGAGUGAGAUCUGCUCUUCGAGGGAUGUCCAUGGUCUGGUCAGCCUGGCCUUCUUGGAUUGUUAACGGAGUUGGUGAUUUCUCAUUCUCAACCGGACCCUCGUUUUCAAAGUGUUACCAGUUUUCUUCAUCGCGAGAAAAAGAAACCGAAAAGAGGAGAAAGAAAAUGGUGAUUUCACUUUGAAGCGGGGCUUGGUUUCAGCUGGCCUUGGAAACCAAGCCCCUUCAGCUAUGUACUUGUGUUAUAUAUAUAUAUAUAUAUAUAUUUAUGUAUGUAUAUGCGUGUGUGCGUGGGCAUGCAUACCAAAUGCAACCUUCACUUCUCUGCUAUGCAGCUUCCUAUGAUCCGUCUUUUCGAUGGGACAAGAACUUGAUAGAAGCCCCGCUUGGAAUCAAUUCAUUCUUUUGAGAAAUUGAUUUCAUCAGCUGAACUUAGCUCCUCCUCCUAGCUAAGAUUGUAAAGAGGUGAUGAUUUUCGGAGGUUCAGAAGAGAGAUGCUGGGAAGAGUGUACAGGCAGGGAGAGCCGUCUGUAGCCUGGCGUGGCAGCUCUGGACGGCCGCAGCCGUGGCGGCAGGGUUCCUUCAGCUGUCUGAUCAAAAGCAAAUCUGAGCCUCAAUGGAACACACACUGCCGAUCCCUUCUUUUCCCGUCAAGUUCCAUCUUCUGUUAUUGUUGAAGUGAUUCUUGGGGGAUUCAUUUGUUACUUGCUAGACUGAUUUAUGUUGUUAAUAAGAUAUUAAAGCUUUUAUUUGGAGCUCUUCAUUGA